rnacentral:lncRNA from 1 species
AUUUGGCUUGGCUUUUGCAUGGUCAUCAUCACACAAGAUAAGGAACAGUAAGUUCAGGGAGGUCAUGACUCAUUAGUGUCAGAGCCGACAUUAGGAUGGGGGUCUACUGCUGGACAGCAUUCCCCACAACACCACGGACACACCACAAAUCAACAAGACACAUGUGGAUCUAACAGUGGCUGGUGGCUUGAGGAAGCAUCAGCAGACUUUCUUUGGGAAGCACACAGGGCCCUGGAAUUCCAAUAAUGUAAGUCCAGUGUCUGCCUGAUGGUUCUGUUCUGAUUUUUAUGUCUCCC